UCCAUGCACCUCACAGGUGUGUUAAUAAUUUCAUUUCUCAGAAAAUGUUCUUUCAUAUCUAUCUUACAUGAUGAGAGACCUUUUAACAUCUUCCAUUCGGAUGUGAUACCAGUAAUGGAAAAUAUUCCAGCUUCAUGAAUAUGGUGAUACAAAUAGUUAUCCGUCUAACCUCUUUCAGUGCCAAAUGUUUACUAUACUCAGUGAGUUACUCAGUCGACUGGUAAUUUCUUCUGAAAUCACUAAUGAGAGGAUCAGAAGUCUGGCUGUUGUCUGUACCUCAUAUGACUCCCAGUGCAGACAAUUGUUUCUAUGGAGCACAGACAGUUGAAAGGAUUGACUUCCUGCCUAGAAUAGUUUCUGCUGUGCUUCUUAUCCUUCUUGUGGAGAUUUCAGAUUAUCUGAAUUGCUUUUCUAUCUUAAGAAAAAACGCAACAAUUCUCCCACCUGAGAGGCAUGUAAACUGUAGUAAGUUAGCAGAACCAAUCCGUAAAGUUUUUACAUUGUUUGUUGCAAAAUGCAGCGCUGGUGUCUCCAUCACUAACCUUUUCUAUCCCUCAUUGCUCUUUCUUUGACUGCAAUAGGAUACCUGUAGGCAAAUCUGUAUUCCCGAGACAGAGUGCCCUUUUGGUGAGCUAUAAGCACACUCAAUGGUAGGCUGAAAUACUAGUUUUUAUCUAUGGUGAAGUGGAAUCAUAUCAGUGAUUUUCUUAAAAAGGAAAUUUAACUCUUGCUAUGGUUUGAAUGCUUGCCCCUUCCAAACUCAUGUUAAAAUUUGAUCCCCAAUGUUGCAGGUGGGGCUCACUGGGAGGUGUUUGGUCAUGGGGUUGGACCUUCAUGAAUGGAUAAUACCCUCCCUUAGAAAUCUAAAGCUAUCCUCUCUCCUCGGUGCCCUCAGGAAUGAGUGUACCAUUCUUUAUUCACCUAUAAUUACCCCACCCAUCCUUUUUGAGAUAUUGAUUACAUGUAUGUUACACUGAUGCAUAUUG
rnacentral:lncRNA from 10 species